CAAUGAGGCAACACUGCCCUGAAACUACUUUAAAAAAUAGAGACAAGAGGCCAGCACGAGGGUUCAGCAUAGCAGGAUAGGCAUAGAAAAGCAAGGGGAAAGCAACAAAAUGGAGUUCACAAACAGACAUUAAGGAAACCUGGGAGGCCAUGGAGGGCAGAUCAUGGAGUUGUUUCUUGGAACCAACAUCAGACAUGAAGGAGAAACCACAUCCAGCAACAGGAGACUUACAAAAGAAGAUGAAAGAAGACAAAAUAGCAGCAGUAGACCCGCCUAGCUUAUGACUCAAUUUGUUUAUAAAAUGAACAAAUAUUUGUAGUCAUUGACCAUAGACUGUAUACACAAGAUACAACAAUGACAGCACCUAUUGACUUGUGGGAUAGCAUUUUUUUAAAAAAGGCCUGAAUCAGAGAGCAUCUCAGGAUCAAUGGAUACUCUGACUGUAAGCCAGCAGAUGAGGACACUGUACUGUACUUGAAGUGUCACAAGGAUGCUUAAUAAAGUUAGUAAACGGGAUAUCCUAUCUUAUGGCAAAAAAAGAAAAGCUGGACAUCAAUGAAACAACAAAUUGUAAAGACAGUCGAUUGAUCCAGAGACCUGUUGUGAUCCAGGGCCUUCUGCGUGGUCAAACUGCAAGGACUACAGCACCGACAGGUUGUUCAGUCAGUGAGAGAUGUCCAAACUGUUACAGUAUAAAACAUGUGAACACCAAUCUUACUACAUUCAAAAGUGUUAAAAAACGACUAUAUCAGAAAAUCGAGACCAUUCAUAUGCCAUAACUUGUUUUGAUCAGCCAUUUAUCCGACACAAUUUUCUCCUGUGAAUUAUAAUGAACUAUUCACUGUAUCAGUGUUUAUCUUACUCUAAAUUAUCAGUAUCUAUAUCCGUAUUUUGAUUUGGGGUCAUUGUUCAUAAAAGUAAUGCAUUAUAUAUUACUUGUUGCUGUUCCUACAAGUAAUGUAGUAUGUUAAUUUCUCGCUGGAGAAAGUAAUUUGUUAUACUACUUGCUGAGUUACAGUUGUGUUACUUCACAAAAUGAACUGAAUUGCACUGUCACAUAAUUACAAGUUAACGCCAUAAAAACUGGGCUACAGUUCCACAUGCAAGCAGAAAUCCACAAAUCACAAAAUUAUUUUAGUGUUUACACAAAUACAACGACACAAACCAAAGUUGAAAACCAGCUCAGAGAGACAUCAAAGCGAUUGUCACAGUGAUUCUACUAAAAACAAGGUAAAGGUAUAAAUCGAGAGUACAGUGAGGCUUACCACUGACUUUGUUACUGCUGAUGUUGUGUGGGUUGGGAUCGGCAUACACUCAGCUUCAACAACACUCUGGGUUUUUCGCUAUAUUUUGCUAUAGUUUUGUCUAAUCUAAUCUACUCUAAUAUUUGUGUUAGCAUGCUAACACUAAGCUAACGCAAAGCUAGUCAAAGUAUUGUUAACACAUAGCUG
ensembl:lncRNA